CCUACGGGAGGCAGCAGUGGGGAAUAUUGCGCAAUGGGCGAAAGCCUGACGCAGCGACGCCGCGUGAGGGAUGAAGGUCUUCGGAUCGUAAACCUCUGUCAGCAGGGAAGAACGGUCACUGUGCUAAUCAGCAGUGAAUUGACGGUACCUGCAAAGGAAGCACCGGCUAACUCCGUGCCAGCAGCCGCGGUAAUACGGAGGGUGCGAGCGUUAAUCGGAAUUACUGGGCGUAAAGCGCUCGUAGGCGGUAUGUCAAGUCAAGGGUGAAAUCCCCGCGCUCAACGUGGGAACUGCCUUUGAAACUGGCAAACUGGGGUGGGUGAGAGGAUAGUGGAAUUCCAGGUGUAGGAGUGAAAUCCGUAGAUAUCUGGAGGAACAUCAGUGGCGAAGGCGACUAUCUGGCACAUAACUGACGCUGAGGAGCGAAAGCGUGGGUAGCAAACAGGAUUAGAUACCCCAGUAUC
rnacentral:rRNA from 1 species